CAUUUUAUCUUGAAAGUAACUAACUUGUUUUUGAUUUUACAGGCUCAUAGGCAGAAGUGACUGGCCUUAUCUCAGCUGAGACUUUGGACUUGCAUUUUGGGUUAAUGCUGAAAUAAGUUAAGACUUUUGGGGAUUGCUGGAAGGGCAUGAUUGUGUUUUGAAAUGUGA